ACCAGUCAGAGGUACUCUGCCUCAAAAUUAUGGAUUAGUUUGAGCUACUCAGGUACCAAGGUGGGAUACAAAUGGCAAGUCCCUGAACAUAUGCUUGGGCAUGCAAGGAAUAAUGAUGGGAUGUUUUCUCAUUUUAACUCAUACCUCCAGUCCUAGUGCUUUUAUGGGGAAGGAGGAGAGAAGCUGAUGCAAGAAACCUGAAGGUGAGGAGUUGUCAUGGCUCCAUCACUUUGUCCAUGAAGCUGAACUCCCUGACACCCAAGUCCAGCUUUGCUGUUAUUCAACCGAUGCUCGUACUGCGGGAAUGUGAGUCAGGAUCAUCCUGAGGACUCCCACCUCCUGUAUUCAUCAUCAGAAUCUCUUUUUCCCUGAGCUCUAUAGCUGCACUAUGGGAGGGCUGGCACUGCAUAAAGGCAUGGAAUGAGCAGAGAAUCCUAUCAGUGUUUCAUCUGUGCACCUCAAGAACCACAGGAAGAAUACAAGAGCAAACAACCUCACAAAAAUAUGGUAAUGAAUGCACUGCCUCCACAUUCACUAUCAGCUUUCUGAUAUUCCAAGACAAAAAACUCCAAAUAUGCCUUUCAAUAAUGCAGAGGGAAUGAAAACUCAAUACAACCCACAGUACUAUUUUCAGAAACUGUGUCGUUCCAUAACAUGGUUCCAAAAUGAAAAAGAAAAAAAAACCCAACAAAAAACCAACAGAGAAGAAUGGGAUUUUCCCUACAAAAACACAACUUCAGGUUAAUCUUUCAUGCUGACAAUGAGACUUUGGAUCGGAGACUCCCUGGAUAUUUUUCUCUCUAAUGAAACUUUUCCCUUCUAACUUAUCUUCUUAUUGUUACCAAAAAAAAAAUAAAAAAAAAUCCAUCCUGGUGUGGUCAGACUUA